AAUCAUUUUAAUGAACUGUAAAAUCUAAACAAUCUUGUUGAAGCCAGACUGUAAAAUGCUCAGUGAUGAGUUUGAUCAACGAGGAUGAAGAUCCAUGAGCUCCUCCGCUCUGCGCCGCCUCUCCUCCGUCACUUCCACGGGAAGGUCCGCGUGCGUUCCGUGAUCCUAAAGGUGUGUUGUUAUUGUGACAGCUUGGUGCAAUCUAACCGGGGAGGCUGCGUAACGUCAAGCCGUUAUGUUAGCCAGCCCCCGCUAGCAGCAAUGCUACCUACCGCAGAGUAGAGUCCGUUUAACGGCACUGUUUCCCGGGCAGCUCCGAGGCUCACAGCGGCCUGGAACACGAAGCGCGAGGCCAUAAAAAAGAGUGAGCGCUGACCCCCCCGACCAACCAACACCCUGCGUCUCCUGCCGCUCCCCCGCUUCCGUUGCCCCUCCCCCCCACCGCACCACAUCGCUUUUCUGUCUGCGGUGGAUAGGACUCCCAUUGGACGCUUUGUCAGGUGGCUAUUCGGUCUGGCGCCGCCUCCCCCUGGGGCCGGCGUGCGCUCCCAGCAGCCCGUGGUGCCCUGCGCCCCCCCCUCCCCGUCACUGCACAACAGGGCCCAUGUUCAGGGAGGAAGCGCGGUGCGUCCGCCAGGAGCCAUGUGCCUCCCUCAAACCAACAACAUGGACAGCAAGCAGCAGGGGGCGGGGGCAGGGGGCGGGGCUUUACCCAAACCAGGAGGUGGAGGCGUUUCUCUGGAGCCCUUCAUCCACCAGGUGGGGGGGCACACCAGCAUGAUGCGCUACGAUGACCACACUGUGUGCAAACCUUUGAUCAGCAGAGAGCAGCGCUUCUACGAGUCUCUGCCUCCUGAGAUGAAGGAGUUCACCCCGGAGUAUAAAGGUG